rnacentral:lncRNA from 1 species
UCCACAGAUGAGUCACUUGUUCAGUGAUAAUGUACCCCUACAUCUCACUUGUAUGCCAUACCAGUGUCUCCACACUCCUUGAUUACAAGGACAACCAACCUAUAUGGUAUACAAUGACUUAUACUCGAUAAAUAUCAUCAUCCUUUAAUGAUGUAUUAUUUGGUCACGAACAUGUUUAAGAACUAUUUGAUAAAUCUUCUUUUAUCGAUUUUCAUGUAGUUUUAAAGACUUCAUCACAACACAUGAGUUCAU